rnacentral:rRNA from 1 species
UACGUAGGGUGCAAGCGUUAAUCGGAAUUACUGGGCGUAAAGCGUGCGCAGGCGGUUUUGUAAGUCUGUCGUGAAAGCCCCGGGCUCAACCUGGGAAUUGCGAUGGAGACUGCAAGGCUUGAAUCUGGCAGAGGGGGGUAGAAUUCCACGUGUAGCAGUGAAAUGCGUAGAGAUGUGGAGGAACACCGAUGGGGAAGGCA